UACCUCGCCAGCCACCUCUCUCCGCGGCAGUAUCCAGCCCCCGAAAACCCUCGGCCAGUGCUUGGGCCGGGGCUUAGGUCUCUGCCUGCAGCCUGGCUGGCUGGGGCAUCUGGGUGUGCCCCAUGAAGAGCGCUCGAUGUGCUGAUGUGCACACAUGUGUGCAAAACAGGGCAGCUCUGACCCUUCGCAAGGCCAGUGAAGUACCACCUCCCCCACCCGUCACUGUGAAGCUUGGUGGGGACUAGGACAGGUGGACUGUCUUACAGGCUGACACCUGGCACUGGUGUGUGCUGAGGCCCUGAGUCGGGGCAGGGGUCCUAGGAAGGGUCACUGGCAUGGGUGUGCCCUAUGAUUUUGGUGUAGAGAGUGAAAUCUGUCAGCUUGGUUGGCAGUAGAGAGAUGGAGGGGGUCACUCCCACCCUGGGUGUGUACAGAAGCACUUGGGUGAGCUGAUGGAGAGAGUCGCCUCCAUUCUCGUGAGGGAGCUGGAACCCACAAACAUACACGUGCCCACACACUCACUCUCCCACUGUCACAUGCAGAUGGCCUUUGUCAUUCUGCCUUUUUCAAAGUUGAUGUAGGCUUCAAAUUCUAAAAAUUUCUGUGUCGCUUCAGUAUUUUAGGAAAAGAUGAGAAACAGAGAGAGGGAGACAGAGAGAGAGAGUGGGAGAGAGAGAGAGUGAGGGAGAGAGUGAGGGAGAGAGAGAGGGGCAGAGGCAGGCAGGAGAGAGAGAGCGCGAGAUGAAAUUGAGACAUGGAAGAAUUUAUUGCCCAGAAAAUUCCAUUCUGCUAUCUGAUUCAAAAAGUCCAGUCCCCCCAGCUUCGGAAAAUCUAUUUUCCACAUUUUAAUACCCUGCAGAACAGUCCUCAUAACUCAUCCGAGUGUGUUAAGCACAGUUUUAUUAGAUCUGAAACAAAUUUUGGUGGGGAGAUACUAUAGGUCAUUAACCAUGGAGUAAUUUUAUCCUUGUUUCCCUAAUGAUGCCAUAAUGGCGAGCGAAUUUCUUAACUAAAGACCAAAGAACAUUUUGAAGGUCAGUUUCAUCUGUGAGCUCCUUCAAGCGCUUCUCAGAGAAGAUUGGAAAACUCGCCGAUUUUUUGAAGAGUCAUUAAUAAUGUGAAAGCUGAAAGCACCCUCCAUUUGCGUUCCUGCUUUUUACCUUUUAAUUUUAUAUCGUCCCCGCUCAGAGCCCCGCUCCCACUCCUUCGCCCUCCUCCGGACCUCCCGCCCGCCUACCCGCCCCACUCGCAGGGAGCAAGGCUGCUCGGUCCCAGGUACCAGGCUGCUGUGAGGGGCAGUCAGGGGAGGAGGGGCUGCAGCGAGGGAGGCAGAAGAGCUGGAGAGGCCAGAGACACCCCUCUGGCCAGGGCACCCCGCUGAGAUGGGGGCCCUUUGCUGUAUUCCCAGAGUGCAAUGCACUGUGUGAGGGUGUUGUUAUUGGCAUGGUGUGCAUGUGUGCAAAUGUGCGGCAUAGGGGGCUGAGAUCUCUGGAUUGCAUGCUGGCUGUGCACACACAGGCUCUGGGGACCAAUGGGGCCUUAGCAUUGGUAGGUGGGUGCCCCCUAUUGGAAGUAGGCUGGAAAGGGGGUCUGAAAGCCAACACUGGGUCCAGUGGCCCAAGUGAUGUGUAGGCUGGGGGACACAACGGUCUCUUGACAGAAGGAAGGUCUCCCAACAGGGAUGGACACACGAGUGCAUAUGUUUGCAUGUGAGCCUCUAUGUCCUGGGGGUGAUGAAGUCUUCAAGGCAAGAGCCCCAAGGCCCCUCCCACUAGUAAACCUCUAGACACCAGAGACAGUGACCAUGGUCUGGGCCAACCCUCCUCACUCCUUGGUCCACUUACCCCCUUGUUCCCCAGGCCUUGGGCCCCUCAUUAGCCCACUUUACUUGUCUCCUAACCCCCAAUUCCUGGCUCCUUGGACCCCCUAGUUCCACCAUUCCCCCCCACCCCCCACCUCCUCACCCAACUGAUGGUAUCAUUGCAGGGUGCCCAGCCACGAGCUGAGGUGGGACAGCACUUCGGCAUGUAAGAGGGUUUGGGGAGGAGGGGGUGGUGUGGUGACACUCUGUGCUCCCAGAUGUGGUGGCAGCGAUAAUUCCAAUUUUAUGCCUUUGUUAUGGCUUUAAUCACUUUCUUUAUGCGUUUUGUUCCAGCGAUCAGGGAGAGACACCUGAUAGGCAAAGAGGAUACCAGGGGAACCAUUUUUAUUUGGAAUGUGGUGAGAAGUCUAAUUAGAAUCUGAAUUCUGCUGAGCCUUGAAAUGGCCAGCACUUUAUCCUGAUCGCCUUAGAUAUUGUUUCGAGUCAAUCAUCUGUCAUGGUGCGGCGGGAGAGCCUCUCCAUUCACACCACGCUCCCUCCUACUGCAGGCCCGGCCGGGGUACACUGGGGGAGGGGAGGCUCGGGGGGGCCCCCACUCUAACAGGGACAUGUGCCUUCUGGGGGCAGGAGGGGGACGGUUUGGAUGGCUCAUCCUCCCCUGGUGAGGUCUGUCUUUGCUGGGAUGCUGAUUUGAGCUCAGGGGGACAGGGGCUGCAGGAAGAGGGUGCCGAGGGGCCUGUAUCUGAAUUAGGAAAUACUAGGGUGAGGCCAAGUUAGUCUGGGGCACCUCCUAAGUGCUCCCAGCACACUGACCAGCCUACCACCUCUCCAUCAGUGGUCCAUGGGGACGCUUGUCUUUUCAUUGUCCCCUGGAUGUACUGUACCUCUCUCAUGUGCUACCCCUACCUCAUAUUCCCCACUCCCACUGCCAUCCCUCCCCAACCCAGCAUUUGCCACACGCUCAGUUCCAUUUCUCUGAUUUUCCUCACUCCAGUCCCCGGCUGGAAUACUGCUGCUCCUAUUAGUUCUCCCUGUUUAGAACUUCUCACCCUGUCAAAGCCCAGACUGGUUCCACCUCCUCCAGGAAGCCUUCCCUGACUUCCUGACCCACAGAGAGUGAGGCUCCGGAGAGGUGGACGAUUGCAGCACAGGCCCCAUCCUGCGAUGGCCAUGCAGACUGAGGAUCCUCGCUCUGACCAGAUCUCCACUCCAUUUACCUUGCUCCUACCUUUAAAUGGCUUCCUCUCUCAUUUUCUUUAACUGCUUUUGCAUUUGUAUGUGUGUCUUAAAGUCACUCAACCCCCCCCCUUUGAACAUGGCAAAAUGUAAAGUAGAAAUAAAUAUUACUCUUAAUG
rnacentral:lncRNA from 1 species